CAGCUCGCUGAAUCCAGGAGCAGCCCCGGGAUCAUUGUGACCUCACAGUUCAGACAGCAUCGGUCCCCUGUGGGGGCCACCUUUCCAGCCCCUCCUCCCAGCAGAGGAUCCCAGUGCCCUCCUGGCCUGAAGGCCCUGCAGGCCUGGCCUUCCCAACUUCCUCUCUGCCCUUGUCCCCCGUCGUCCCUCUAGUUGGCCUGGCCCUCCCAACUUCCUCUCUGCCCUUGUCCCCCGUCGUCCCCCUAGUUGGCCUGGCCCUCCCAACCUCCUCUCUGCCCUUGUCCCCCGUCGUCCCCCUAGCUGGAGGGUGCCCCAGCCUGGCUGACCUCAGUUCUUGUCCCCAGCACACACAACUCUUCCCAGCCUCAAGGCCUUCACCUGGCUGUGCCGCUGCCUGCAAUGUUCCUCCCCAGUCUUGUCAGGGCUGGCUCCUGGGGAGAAGAUCUCUGCUCAGAUGUCACUUCCCCGGAAGGGCCUUCCACGGCCACCCACGUCGUGUCUCCCCACGCCUGCCCCCACACUCGCUAGCCCGCCGUCCCCUCUUCCUGCUUCCGUCCUCCACAGCAGUCAUCACCAUCUGAUAUUCCUGUGUAUGCAUCGGUUUGCCUUUCUGGCUCCUGGUUUUGCUCUGCCUCCCCGCUGGAAGACGUGAGGCCCGGAGUGUACAGCCAAUGGUUGUCACACACAGUAUCCCCCCAAGAGAAACCUGCAGCCCAGCAGCUCGGCUGCAGUACAGAGACCCCCAACCUGGCAGAGGCCUUGACACAAAACAGUUUUGCACCAAAUGAUGCAUACGUGAAGGCACAAUGAAGUGAACAGCAAGCGUUCAAGGAAAAGGCCUUGCAUGGC
rnacentral:lncRNA from 1 species